UACGUAGGAUGCAAGCGUUGUCCGGAAUUAUUGGGCGUAAAGAGCGCGCAGGCGGUAUGACAAGUCAGAUGUGAAAGAGGCCGGCUUAACCGGCAAGGGUCAUUUGAAACUGUCAGACUAGAGUGCAGCAGAGGAUAGUGGAAUUCCCGGUGUAGUGGUGAAAAUGCGUAGAUAUCGGGAGGAACACCAGUGGCGAAGGCGACUAUCUGGGCUGCAACUGACGCUGAGGCGCGAAGGCUAGGGUAGCAAACAGG
rnacentral:rRNA from 1 species